rnacentral:tRNA from 1 species
GGGGAUAUAGUUCAGUUGGUAGAGUGCUUGUCUGUCAUGCACAAGGUCCUGGGUUCAAUCCUCAGCACCGCCA